GUCCUUCUUCUCCGACGCCGGUUGUUUUCUUCUUUGUUUUCGUCCUCUAUUUUGUUCUUCUUGGAGUUUCGGCUGUCCAAAACCACACCUCUGCUUUUUCGACGGUUGUUGCCGGCGNNNNNNNNNNNNNNNNNNNNNNNUGGUCGUUGUUUCGGCGCGGUUCUGGUGGUCUUGAGGGGUUUUGGUGUCGGUUUUGUGUGGGUUUGGCGCGGAUUUGGCCUCCAUGGUGGUGAGAUUCGGGUGCUUAUGGGGUGGUGAUGUUGUUGUAGUCACAGCAAUGGUUGUUGUUGUGAUUCCGCGGAUCUUGCGCCGUUUUUUAUGGUGUUGGUGUCGUUUCACGUUUUUCUGUUCUGUUUUUGUUCCAGUGGUUGGCGUGGUGUUUUGGAUCUUGCGAUGGGUCAGAGUAAAAAAAAUAGAUUCUUUACUCAAAUAUCUUAAGCAGCUCAAGUAGAUUCUCUGUAUUUUUUAUUUGUUGUUGUUAGCUUGGUUAAAUUUCUAUUUUUCUUUUCAACUUUCAAUUUCAUGCUUUUCAAUUUGUUUAUCUUGUCAACAUGAUGGGUUAAAUGAUAAUAAUACAUAAUUUUCCUUCUUCUUGAGGGAUAUUUGUACUUCUCUAGUUAAUUUGACACAUUAAUAUGUUUUUAUUUAUUGUUGUUUCUAGUUUUAGUUUGUUUUAUAGAAUCACUUAUAACAUAUGUUGUGUUUGUUAUCUUAUAUGCAGGAUCGAUGUCAAUGAAGUUAGGGCAUUUAGAAGAAGACAUUACUAUAUAUAUUAAUUAAAUUUUACUGUCAUAAAUCAUAUAUUUAUAGAAACAAGAGCAUUAUGUAAUUUUGGAUAUGUAGUUUUUAAAUUUCUAUUAGAUAUUAUCAAUUUUCUGCAAAUUUCGUAUGUGUUGUUUUGAACUUUCUAUUAGAGAUUACC
rnacentral:lncRNA from 1 species